CGGCCCAGACUCCUACGGGGAGGCAGCAGUGGGGAAUUCUUGGACAAUGGGGGCAACCCUGAUCCAGCCAUGCCGCGUGAGUGAUGAAGGCCUUAAGGGUCGUAAAGCUCUUUCGCCAGGGAUGAUAAUGACAGUAUCUGGUAAAGAAACCCCGGCUAACUCCGUGCCAGCAGCCGCGGUAAUACGGAGGGGGUUAGCGUUGUUCGGAAUUACUGGGCGUAAAGCGCGCGUAGGCGGAUUGGAAAGUUGGGGGUGAAAUCCCGGGGCUCAACCCCGGAACUGCCUCCAAAACUAUCAGUCUAGAGUUCGAGAGAGGUGAGUGGAAUUCCGAGUGUAGAGGUGAAAUUCGUAGAUAUUCGGAGGAACACCAGUGGCGAAGGCGGCUCACUGGCUCGAUACUGACGCUGAGGGACGAAAGCGUGGGGAGCAAACAGGAUUAGAUACCCUGGUAGUCCACACCGUAAACGAUGUAUGC
rnacentral:rRNA from 1 species